rnacentral:rRNA from 1 species
UACGGAGGGUGCGAGCGUUGUCCGGAAUCAUUGGGCGUAAAGGGCGCGUAGGUGGCCUGCUAAGCGUGCGGUGAAAGCUCGGGGCUCAACCCCGAGUCGGCCGUGCGAACUGGUGGGCUUGAGCACUGUAGAGGCAGGAGGAAUUCCGGGUGUAGCGGUGGAAUGCGUAGAGAUCCGGAAGAACACCGGUGGCGAAGGCGGCCUGCUGGGCAGUAGCUGACACUGAGGCGCGACAGCGUGGGGAGCAAACAGG